rnacentral:lncRNA from 1 species
GCUGAUCGGUUAGGAUCAUUAUAGGGUGUGCUUGAAAGUAGAAUUGAAGUCUUCAGGCCGAAUGAUGAGGGCAAAGAUGAGCUUCUCCAACCUAGUGUAUCUACUUUCGACAUCAUGGAGAGUCCUGCUUGUUGGGAAUAGUGUCCCAAAGUCAAUCAUCAGCCUGUUGACGGUUGUACUCAUUCUUGUAUUAGUAUAUAAAUUAUAAAUAAAUAAAAGUUAUU